rnacentral:rRNA from 1 species
UACGGAGGGUGCAAGCGUUAAUCGGAAUUACUGGGCGUAAAGGGUGCGUAGGUGGUUAAGUAAGUUAUGUGUGAAAUCCCUGGGCUCAACCUGGGCAGGUCAGAUAAUACUGUUUAACUCGAGUAUGGGAGAGGGUAGUGGAAUUUCCGGUGUAGCGGUGAAAUGCGUAGAGAUCGGAAGGAACACCAGUGGCGAAGGCGGCUACCUGGCCUAAUACUGACACUGAGGCACGAAGGCGUGGGGAGCAAACAGG